CCCUUAGAUGUCCUGGGCCGCACGCGCGUUACACUGAUGCAUUCAACGAGCUUAUAACCUUGGCCGAGAGGCCUGGGCAAUCUUGUUAACGUGCAUCGUGAUAGGGAUAUAUUAUUGAAAUUAUUAAUCUUGAACGAGGAAUUCCUAGUAAACGCAGAUCAUCAAUCUGCAUUGAUUACGUCCCUGCCCUUUGUACACACCGCCCGUCGCACCUACCGAUUGGAUGGUCCGGUGAAGCCUCGGGAUUGUGGUUCUUGCCGCUUUAUUGUGGCGUGACCGCGAGAACUUGUCUAAACCUUAUCAUCUAGAGGAAGGUGAAGUCGUAACA
rnacentral:rRNA from 1 species